rnacentral:lncRNA from 1 species
UGGUUUAAGUGUUAUUAGAAUGAAUACAAGAAGCCCAGUAUUGGGGGUUAUCCUAACACUUUAAUGAUCUUUCAUUGUCAAAUAGAGAGAUUGAUUCAUGUGGUGAGAGUAGUAGGAGGUCCUAGUGUAGGCGCUACUUGGAGGCCUAUUGCGCGGUAACGGACUAACCUUGUGUAUGUGGUAGGAUGAAACCCAUGGCAAUAGCUUUGCAAAGCAGUAGAGGCCACCACAAGUGCACAACCUGUCAUAGCUCGGUAUUCAUUCUAAGUUUGGACGAUCAAGUCUAAGUCAUAGCGUGUUAAGAUGUUUGAAGUUGAUUGUAUCAUAUGAAUGAAUUAAGUUUCAAUUGUAUGAUCUACUAAUGAAAGAGAGCAGGCUUCACCUCCAUGUUUGGUGCAUUGAUUUGUGGCCGAGCGAUACUGUUGAACUGAAACGACCCUGAAAAGGUAUUGAAAUCCUCCAGAGUGCGUCUAUCUUGCCCAUCACCAUCACCAUUCAUAUUUUCAGCCAUUUGUUCCACUUCAUGCUCAACUGCAGGCACAAUGAGUUGCUCAGGAGUCACAGGAGCUGGAGAAGUUUCUCUAGAUGCCUAAUUCUCUCUUCUUCUUCUACUGUUGUUUCUUCGGGCAGUCUUUUCAACUUCAGGAUCUAAGAGGAGAGGUUCAGAAGAUCGUGUGCUCCUAGUACGGAUUGUGCCCUGCAUACACUAGAGCCAAUAGUACUAGAGCACCAAGUUAGCCCACAAAUAAUGAAAGUAAAAUGUAUUUAAAAUAAAAAGAAUAUAAGAGUAAAGCUUAAAUAGGUUAGAAAUCACACAAAAGUAGAGUAAUUAAACCGAAGU